rnacentral:rRNA from 1 species
CUCAGGGAGGUAGUGACAAGAAAUAACAACACUGGAAAUUUUAUUUCUAGUGAUUGGAAUGAUGGGAAUUUAAACCCCUUUCAGAGUAACAAUUGGAGGGCAAGUCUGGUGCCAGCAGCCGCGGUAAUUCCAGCUCCAAUAGCGUAUAUUAAAGUUGUUGCAGUUAAAAAGCUCGUAGUUGGACGUCUGUUGGAAGCAAUCAGUCCGCCCUAUUUGUAGGGUGUGCACUUGAUGAGUUCUGGCAUCUAUGUCCUAAUGUGAUAGAUACGGCGGUGUAUAUGGGUUAAUCCUAUAUACCCGUUUUUGUAUAUUAUAUUGGGAUAAUACCGUUACUUUGAGAAAAUUAGAGUGUUUGAAGCAGGCUAAUUGCCUUGAAUACUGCAGCAUGGAAUAACAAUAUAGGAUUUCGGUUCUAUUUUGUUGGUUUCUAGGACUGAAAUAAUGAUUAAUAGGGACAGUUGGGGGCAUUCGUAUUUAACUGUCAGAGGUGAAAUUCUUAGAUUUGUUAAAGACGAACUACUGCGAAAGCAUUUGCCAAAGAUGUUUUCAUUAAUCAAGAACGAAAGUUAGGGGCUCGAAGACGAUCAGAUACCGUCGUAGUCUUAACCAUAAACUAUGCCGACUAGAGAUAGGAAAAUGUCAUUUUGCUGACUU